GAUGAACGCUGGCGGCGUGCCUAAUACAUGCAAGUCGAGCGAACGGACGAGAAGCUUGCUUCUCUGAUGUUAGCGGCGGACGGGUGAGUAACACGUGGAUAACCUACCUAUAAGACUGGGAUAACUUCGGGAAACCGUAGCUAAUACCGGAUAAUAUUUUGAACCGCAUGGUUCAAAAGUGAAAGACGGUCUUGCUGUCACUUAUACAUGGAUCCGCGCUGCAUUAGCUAGUUGGUAAGGUAACGGCUUACCAAGGCAACGAUGCAUAGCCGACCUGAGAGGGUGAUCGGCCACACUGGAACUGAGACACGGUCCAGACUCCUACGGGAGGCAGCAGUAGGGAAUAUUCCGCAAUGGGCGAAAGCCUGACGGAGCAACGCCGCGUGAGUGAUGAAGGUCUUCGGAUCGUAAAACACUGUUAUUAGGGAAGAACAGAUGUGUGAGUAACUGUGCACAUCUUGACGGUACCUAAUCAGAAAGCCACGGCUAACUACGUG
rnacentral:rRNA from 1 species